rnacentral:rRNA from 1 species
AUUGAACGCUGGCGGCAGGCCUAACACAUGCAAGUCGAGCGGAGCGGCGGACGGGUGCGUAAUGCCUAGGAAUCUGCCUGGUAGUGGGGGAUAACGUACGGUAACGGGCGCUAAUACCGCUUACUCUCAGAUGAGGCUCGGUCGGAUUAGCUAGUUGGUGGGGUAAAGGCCUACCAAGGCGACGAUCCCUAGCUGGUCUGAGAGGAUGACCAGCAACACUGGAACUGAGACACGGUCCAGACUCCUACGGGAGGCAGCAGUGGGGAAUAUUGCACAAUGGGCGCAAGCCUGAUGCAGCCAUGCCGCGUGUAUGAAGAAGGCCUUCGGGUUGUAAAGUACUUUCAGCGGGGAGGCGUUACCCGCAGAAGAAGCACCGGCUAACUCCGUGCCAGCCGCCGCGGUAAUUC